ACGGCAUGAUGGGGACAUUUUCUGAUGAGACCCUUUAAUCGUUCCCCUGAUUCAUGGAACUGCUCACCAUCUUGUUACGAGAAACUAGUGAGAUCUCGUCUUAUCU
rnacentral:snoRNA from 1 species